CAGCUGGGAGCGGUGUAUAGGAUGUUCAGUUUUGCAUGUUCUGAUGCCAGAUAAUGUUCAGUUGAAAGAGAUGGCUAUGAGGUGCGUGCAAGUACAAGCGUGAAAUGAGUGUCAAUUUGUUAUUCGCCAAAGUGAUAUGAAAACGAAGACCCUGUAACUGAAGUUGCAUCCUCAGUCCUACAUAACACAUCCUUUUUCGCAGAAUAAAUGGUCACAACUUCUUCAUAUAUAUAGGCGGUGUCGCUGGCGGAAUGGCAAGAUGCCCAGUCUGAUGACCUAGGUCUGUGGCAAGUUGGUGGACCUCGACUACAGGAACAUCACCGAGGCAAUCGAUAGUAGGUUGGUCAAUUGCUAACACAACAUGUUUUGAAUUGUAAAAUUAAGUUUGUUCUUUUGUUUAUUUUUUCUGAUUGAAAGUGCCAGUUGGUGUUGUUGUAUAACAUAUUUUGAAUUACAAAAUUAAUUCUCCGGUUACACGCAUGGGAUUGUUUCUUCAACUUUUCCGCACGUCACUGACUUAGCCACGCCACCAGGCAACUGUUCUGUACAUAGUAAGAGAGAGAGACGAAAUAUAUGUGAUUCAUGGAUGGAUGGAGACCAGGUCGGCCCAUCCAAGUUGCACAACUCCAGUUGAGCUGCUUUCUCCGGCCCAAGGUCCCAGCGGUGUAGCCAUUCUAUAAUCAAUCUUUCACGUUCACUCACCAAUUCAAUAAUCCCACUUCACUCUCUUACACACAAUUAUGUCAGUUUAUAUAUGUCUGUUCUUUCGAACCAAUAAGCUGUCUUAGAAACCAAUAAAGACAUAGUGAGGUGUGGCUUCUAUUUAUCCCUAAGGGGGAGACCCAAAUAGAUAUUGGUUGAUUGACGUGCCUCCGUAAAUAACCUCUACAAUAUGUGAUGGGCUAAUUAUGCAUGGUGCAAAAUUAAAGUAGGAUUGGGUGCCUGUAAUGGCCAACGAAAGAAAUACUCAAUUAAUGUAGGGCGUAGGCGUCGAGGGUCGAGAUAGAGAAACAUGCUAAGGAAAUGCUGAUGGCGGAAGUUUUUUUUUCCCGGUGCAACGCACGGGCAUAUUUGCUA